rnacentral:rRNA from 1 species
GAUGAACGCUGGCGGCGUGCCUAAUACAUGCAAGUCGAGCGAACAGACGAGGAGCUUGCUCCUCUGACGUUAGCGGCGGACGGGUGAGUAACACGUGGAUAACCUACCUAUAAGACUGGGAUAACUUCGGGAAACCGGAGCUAAUACCGGAUAAUAUAUUGAACCGCAUGGUUCAAUAGUGAAAGACGGUUUUGCUGUCACUUCUAGAUGGAUCCGCGCCGCAUUAGCUAGUUGGUAAGGUAACGGCUUACCAAGGCAACGAUGCGUAGCCGACCUGAGAGGGUGAACGGCCACACUGGAACUGAGACACGGUCCAGACUCCUACGGGAGGCAGCAGUAGGGAAUCUUCCGCAAUGGGCGAAAGCCUGACGGAGCAACGCCGCGUGAGUGAUGAAGGUCUUCAGAUCGUAAAACUCUGUUAUUAGGGAAGAACAAAUGUGUAAGUAACUAUGCACGUCUUGACGGUACCUAAUCAGAAAGCCACGGCUAACUACGUG